UCACGAAUAAGCACCGGCUAACUCCGUGCCAGCAGCCGCGGUAAUACGGAGGGUGCGAGCGUUAAUCGGAAUUACUGGGCGUAAAGGGUACGUAGGCGGUUAAAUAAGUUGGAUGUGAAAGCCCUGGGCUCAACCUAGGAACCGCAUUCAAAACUGUUUAACUAGAGUGUAUAAGAGGUUAGCGGAAUUCCAGGUGUAGCAGUGAAAUGCGUAGAUAUCUGGAGGAACAUCAGUGGCGAAGGCGGCUAACUGGUAUAACACUGACGCUGAGGUACGAAAGCGUGGGGAGCAAACGGGAUUAGAUACCCCGGUAGUCCACGCCCUAAACGAUGAGAACUAGCUGUUGGAUGCGUAAAUGCAUUCAGUAGCGAAGCUAACGCGUUAAGUUCUCCGCCUGGGGAGUACGACCGCAAGGUUGAAACUCAAAGGAAUUGACGGGGGCCCGCACAAGCGGUGGAGCAUGUGGUUUAAUUCGAUGCAACGCGAAGAACCUUACCAUCCCUUGACAUCCUCAGAAUUUGUCGUAAUGACUUAGUGCCUUCGGGAACUGAGUGACAGGUGCUGCACGGCUGUCGUCAGCUCGUGUCGUGAGAUGUUGGGUUAAGUCCCGCAACGAGCGCAACCCCUAUCCUUAUUUGCCAGCACGUUAUGGUGGGAACUCUAAGGAGACUGCCGGUGAUAAGCCGGAGGAAGGUGGGGACGACGUCAAGUCAUCAUGGCCCUUACGGGAUGGGCUACACACGUGCUACAAUGGUGCAUACAGAGGGUUGCCAACCAGCGAUGGGGAGCUAAUCCCAGAAAGUGCAUCUUAGUCCGGAUCGCAGUCUGCAACUCGACUGCGUGAAGUUGGAAUCGCUAGUAAUCGCGAAUCAGCAACGUCGCGGUGAAUACGUUCCCGGGCCUUGUACUCACCGCCCGUC
rnacentral:rRNA from 1 species